UCUAAACCCUGUGGGAGACAAAAAAGAAUUACAUGACUCAGUUUUCUAUCCGCAAGCAAGUUACUCUGGAAUUGGAGAGAAAAAUCUACUGACGGGUGUGUGCUGCUCAAACAAAAGAGCAAAUGAAGAAACAGGAAGGAAGACACUGGAUUUGGUAAGCCGUGGACCCAGGAGAGAAAAGUGGUGAAGUCCAAGGACGAGGACUGGGCAUCAGACAGGCUUGAGCACGAAGAAGAGAGGAAGGGAAAGGACCCUAGGGUCGGUUUUUAUAGAGACACCAUCCUUCCAGGGGUAAAUCCAUAAAGAAUGCUGAUCUGCUGAAGAAUACACUUGCAGGUCUCUCUUGCAUGGCUUUACUGGAUCUGCAGACCCGAGGGAGAGAUGAAAUAUAUUUUUCUGUCAGUAAAAGUCAUCAAAAAUGACUUGAAGACUCGCAGGAAACAAAUAGCCAUGUACCACUUGAUUAUUAUGUCCUAAAUUGAUUAAUAUACCAUCCAUCAUUGCUCUCAAGUGAAAGUUAAGGAUUGCAAGAGUUUUGCAUGUCACCAGCAAUUUGGCUUCUUAGAAACAAGGGACAAAAACCUGAUUUGGAGAGAAAUCUCUGUGGGAUUAAUUAACUCAGAGAAGACACUUACAGCGCUGGGUAACAGUUGGAUGCCGGGCUGAAGGUUGAGUUCAUUCCCUAUGUGCCACCGGCUAAAAAAUGCAAUUAAUCUAGUAUAUUAAAUAAAUACUUCAGGAUGUAAAAA